rnacentral:tRNA from 1 species
GGCAGGGUAGCUCAGUUGGUCAGAGCGGCGCCUUCAUAAGGCGUAGGUCGUGGGUUCAAGUCCCACCCCUGCUA